GAUGAACGCUGGCGGCGUGCCUAAUACAUGCAAGUCGAGCGAACAGACGAGGAGCUUGCUCCUCUGACGUUAGCGGCGGACGGGUGAGUAACACGUGGAUAACCUACCUAUAAGACUGGGAUAACUUCGGGAAACCGGAGCUAAUACCGGAUAAUAUAUUGAACCGCAUGGUUCAAUAGUGAAAGACGGUUUUGCUGUCACUUAUAGAUGGAUCCGCGCCGCAUUAGCUAGUUGGUAAGGUAACGGCUUACCAAGGCAACGAUGCGUAGCCGACCUGAGAGGGGGAUCGCCCACACUGGAACUGAGACACGGUCCAGACUCCUACGGGAGGCAGCAGUAGGGAAUCGUCCGCAAUGGGCGAAAGCCUGACGGAGCAACGCCGCGUGAGUGAUGAAGGUCUUCGGAUCGUAAAACUCUGUUAUUAGGGAAGAACAAAUGUGUAAGUAACUAUGCACGUCUUGACGGUACCUAAUCAGAAAGCCACGGCUAACUACGUG
rnacentral:rRNA from 1 species